AGCUCCAAUAGUGUAUAUUAACUUUGUUGCAGUUAAAAGGCUCGUAGUCGAAUUUAUGGCUCUGUGUUCUCAGCCCACCAUCAAGUAUGGUGAGCGCUGUUGAACACUGGUCAUCCUUCUGGAAAGCACUUCUGCCCUUGAUUGGGUUGGUUGUUGCGAUCCAGAUCAUUUACUGUGAGUAAAUCAGAGUGUUCAAAGCAGGCUUGUGAAGCUUGUAUGCUCCAGCAUGGAAUAAUAAGAUAGGACUUGGGUUCUAUUUUGUUGGCUUUCAGAACCAAAGUAAUGAUCGAUAGGGAUAGUUGGGGGUGCUAGUAUUUAACGGUCAGCGGUGAAAUGCUCAGACCCGUUAAAGACUAACUUAUGCGAAAGCAUUCACCAAGGAUAUCUUCUUUGAUCAAGA
rnacentral:rRNA from 1 species